UGUUGGNCGACGAUGUUCUCGAACAGACCUCACGACCGAUCUGCGACGCUAUAGCUUUGGGUACUUUCAGGACCCGUCUUGAAACACGGACCAAGGAGUCUAGCAUGUGCGCGAGUCAUUGGGAAUUACUAAACCUAAAGGCGUAAUGAAAGUGAAGGUCUUCCUUGCGGAGACCGAGGGAAGACGGGCGGUUCGCCGUUAAAAGCGGCCGUUCAGCAUUCCCGGGGCGUCUCGUUCUCAUCGCGAGAAGAGGCGCACCAAGAGCGUACACGCUGGGACCCGAAAGAUGGUGAACUAUGCCUGGUCAGGACGAAGUCAGGGGAAACCCUGAUGGAGGUCCGUAGCGAUUCU
rnacentral:rRNA from 1 species